GGGGAUUUAGCUCAGUGGUAGAGCACUUGUCUAGCAAGCACAAGGCCCUGGGUUCGGUCCCCAGCUCCG
rfam:Rattus norvegicus chromosome 5, whole genome shotgun sequence.